AGUCGAGCGGUAACAUUUCUAGCUUGCUAAAAUAUGACGAGCGGCGGACGGGUGAGUAAUGCUUGGGAAUAUGCCUUUACGUGGGGGACAACAGUUGGAAACGACUGCUAAUACCGCAUAAUGUCUUCGGACCAAAGGAGGGGACUCUUCGGAGCCUUUCGCGUAAAGAUUAUCCCAAGUGGGAUUAGCUAGUUGGUAAGGUAAUGGCUUACCAAGGCGACAAUCCCUAUCUGGUUUGAGAGGAUGAUCACCCACACUGGGACUGAGACACGGCCCACACUCCUACGGGAGGCAGCAGUGGGGAAUAUUGCACAAUGGGCGAAAGCCUGAUGCACCCAUGCCGCGUGUGUGAAGAAAGCCUUCGGGUUGUAAAGCACUUUCAGUCGUGAGGAAGGGGUAGUAAUUAAUACUUGCUAUCUUUGACGUUAGCGACAGAAAAAAGACCGGCUAACUCCGUGCCACCAGCCGCGGUAAUACGGAGGGUCCGAGCGUUAAUCGGAAUUACUGGGCGUAAAGCGUACGCACGCGGCUUGUUAAGCCACAUGUGAAAUCCCCGGGCUCAACCUGGGAAUGGCAUUUGGAACUGGCAAGCUAUAGUUUUGUAGAGGGUGGUAGAAUUUCACGUGUAUCGGUGAAAUGCGUAUAGAUCUG
rnacentral:rRNA from 1 species